CAAUAGCGUAUAUUAAAGUUGUUGCAGUUAGAACGCUCGUAGUCGGAUUUCGGGGCGGGCCGACCGGUCUGCCGAUGGGUAUGCACUGGUCGGCGCGUCCUUCCUUCCGGAGACCGGCCCUACUCUUAACUGAGCGGGGGCGGGAGACGGGACUUUUACUUUGAAAAAAUCAGAGUGUUUCAAGCAGGCAGCUCGCUCUUGCAUGGAUUAGCAUGGGAUAAUGAAAUAGGACUUUGGUGCUAUUUUGUUGGUUUCGAACACCGAAGUAAUGAUGAGAAGGGACAGUCAGGGGCACUCGUAUUCCGCCGAGAGAGGUGAAAUUCUCAGACCAGCGGAAGACGAACCACUGCGAAAGCAUUUGCCAGGGAUGUUUUCACUGA
rnacentral:rRNA from 1 species